rnacentral:rRNA from 1 species
UUUCUUCGGAAAUGUCAGAGACCGGCGCACGGGUGCGUAACGCGUAUGCAAUCUACCUUUUACAGAGGGAUAGCCCAGAGAAAUUUGGAUUAAUACCUCAUAGUAUAAUAGCUCGGCAUCGAGCAAUUAUUAAAGUCACAACGGUAAAAGAUGAGCAUGCGUCCCAUUAGCUAGUUGGUAAGGUAACGGCUUACCAAGGCUACGAUGGGUAGGGGUCCUGAGAGGGAGAUCCCCCACACUGGUACUGAGACACGGACCAGACUCCUACGGGAGGCAGCAGUGAGGAAUAUUGGACAAUGGGCGCAAGCCUGAUCCAGCCAUGCCGCGUGCAGGAUGACGGUCCUAUGGAUUGUAAACUGCUUUUGUACAGGAAGAAACAGUUCUACGUGUAGAACCUUGACGGUACUGUAAGAAUAAGGAUCGGCUAACUCCGUGCCAGCAGCCGCGGUAAUACGGAGGAUCCAAGCGUUAUCCGGAAUCAUUGGGUUUAAAGGGUCCGUAGGCGGUUUAAUAAGUCAGUGGUGAAAGCCCAUCGCUCAACGGUGGAACGGCCAUUGAUACUGUUAAACUUGAAUUAUUAGGAAGUAACUAGAAUAUGUAGUGUAGCGGUGAAAUGCUUAGAGAUUACAUGGAAUACCAAUUGCGAAGGCAGGUUACUACUAAUUGAUUGACGCUGAUGGACGAAAGCGUGGGUAGCGAACAGGAUUAGAUACCCUGGUAGUCCACGCCGUAAACGAUGGAUACUAGCUGUUGGGAGCAAUUUCAGUGGCUAAGCGAAAGUGAUAAGUAUCCCACCUGGGGAGUACGUUCGCAAGAAUGAAACUCAAAGGAAUUGACGGGGGCCCGCACAAGCGGUGGAGCAUGUGGUUUAAUUCGAUGAUACGCGAGGAACCUUACCAAGGCUUAAAUGUAGAUUGACCGUUUUGGAAACAGAACUUUCGCAAGACAAUUUACAAGGUGCUGCAUGGUUGCCGUCAGCUCGUGCCGUGA